GACGAACGCUGGCGGCGUGCCUAAUACAUGCAAGUCGAGCGGAUGAAAGAGGAGCUUGCUCCUCUAGAUUCAGCGGCGGACGGGUGAGUAACACGUGGGCAACCUGCCCUGUAGAUUGGGAUAACUCCGGGAAACCGGGGCUAAUACCGAAUAAUCCUUCGGACCUCAUGGUCCGAUGUUGAAAGACGGUUUCGGCUGUCACUACAGGAUGGGCCCGCGGCGCAUUAGCUAGUUGGUGAGGUAACGGCUCACCAAGGCCACGAUGCGUAGCCGACCUGGGAGGGUGAUCGGCCACACUGGGACUGAGACACGGCCCAGACUCCUACGGGAGGCAGCAGUAGGGAAUCUUCCACAAUGGACGAAAGUCUGAUGGAGCAACGCCGCGUGAGUGAAGAAGGUUCUCGGAUCGUAAAACUCUGUUGUGAGGGAAGAACAAGUACCGGAGUAACUGCCGGUGCCUUGACGGUACCUCAUUAGAAAGCCACGGCUAACUACGUGCCAGCCGCCGCGGUAA
rnacentral:rRNA from 1 species